rnacentral:tRNA from 1 species
CGGAAGUAGCUCAGUGGUAGAGCGCCUCCUUGCCAAGGAGGAGGUCGCGAGUUCGACCCUCGUCUUCC